rnacentral:rRNA from 1 species
UACGGAGGGUGCAAGCGUUAUCCGGAUUCACUGGGUUUAAAGGGUGCGUAGGUGGGUAUGUAAGUCAGUGGUGAAAUCCCCGAGCUUAACUUGGGAACUGCCGUUGAUACUAUAUAUCUUGAAUAUCGCGUAGGUAAGCGGAAUAUGUCAUGUAGCGGUGAAAUGCUUAGAUAUGACAUAGAACACCAAUUGCGAAGGCAGCUUACUUCACGAUUAUUGACAUUGAGGCACGAAAGCGUGGGAGCAAACAGG